rnacentral:rRNA from 1 species
AUUGAACGCUGGCGGCAUGCCUAACACAUGCAAGUCGAACGGCAGCACAGCAGUAGCAAUACUGUGGGUGGCGAGUGGCGGACGGGUGAGGAAUACGUCGGAAUCUGCCCAGUCGUGGGGGAUAACUAGCCGAAAGGUUAGCUAAUACCGCAUACGACCGAGAGGUGAAAGCGGGGGGACCGCAAGGCCUCGCGCGAUUGGAUGAGCCGACGUCGGAUUAGCUAGUUGGUGGGGUAAAGGCCUACCAAGGCGACGAUCCGUAGCUGGUCUGAGAGGAUGAUCAGCCACACUGGAACUGAGACACGGUCCAGACUCCUACGGGAGGCAGCAGUGGGGAAUAUUGGACAAUGGGCGCAAGCCUGAUCCAGCAAUGCCGCGUGUGUGAAGAAGGCCUCGG